rnacentral:rRNA from 1 species
GAUGAACGCUGGCGGCGUGCCUAAUACAUGCCAGUCGAGCGAACGGACGAGAAGCUUGCUUUUCUGAUGUUAGCGGCGGACGGGUGAGUAACACGUGGAUAACCUACCUAUAAGACUGGGAUAACUUCGGGAAACCGGAGCUAAUACCGGAUAAUAUUUUGAACCGCAUGGUUCAAAAGUGAAAGACGGUCUUGCUGUCACUUAUAGAUGGAUCCGCGCUGCAUUAGCUAGUUGGUAAGGUAACGGCUUACCAAGGCAACGAUGCAUAGCCGACCUGAGAGGGGGGUCGGCCACACUGGAAGUGGGACAGGGUCCAGACACCAAGGGGAGGCAGGAGGGGGGAAACUUCCGGAGAGGGGGAAAGCCUGGGGGGGAAACGCCGGGGAGGAGAAGAAGGUCUUCGGAUCGAAAAACGCUGUUAUUAGGGAAAAAAAAAUGUGUAGGAAACGGGGCCCAUCUGGACGGUCCCUAUACAAAAAGCCCCGGCAACCUACGG